UAGUUGACAAGAGGCCAAGGAGCAGA
rnacentral:piRNA from 1 species